AACGAACGCUGGCGGCAGGCUUAACACAUGCAAGUCGAACGCCCCGCAAGGGAGGUGGCAGACGGGUGAGUAACGCGUGGGAAGUCUAGCUAGUUCUACGGAACAACAGAGGGAAACGUUCUGCUAAUACCGUAUACGCCCCAACGGGGGAAAGGAUUUAUCGGAAUUAGAUGAGCCCGCGUAAGAUUAGCUAGUUGGUGGGGUAAUGGCCUACCAAGGCGACGAUCUUUAGCUGGUCUGAGAGGAUGAUCAGCCACACUGGGACUGAGACACGGCCCAGACUCCUACGGGAGGCAGCAGUGGGGAAUAUUGGACAAUGGGCGGCAAGCCUGAUCCAGCCAUGCCGCGUGAGUGAUGAAGG
rnacentral:rRNA from 1 species